UACGUAGGGUGCAAGCGUUAUUCGGAAUUACUGGGCGUAAAGCGUGCGCAGGCGGCUUUGCAAGUCAGAUGUGAAAUCCCCGGGCUUAACCUGGGAACUGCAUUUGUGACUGCAUGGCUGGAGUGCGGCAGAGGGGGAUGGAAUUCCGCGUGUAGCAGUGAAAUGCGUAGAUAUGCGGAGGAACACCGAUGGCGAAGGCAGUCCCCUGGGCCUGCACUGACGCUCAGGCACGAAAGCGUGGAGAGCAAACAGG
rnacentral:rRNA from 1 species